rnacentral:rRNA from 1 species
AUACGGAGGGUGCGAGCGUUAAUCGGAAUUACUGGGCGUAAAGCGUACGUAGGCGGUUGGUUAAGUUAGAUGUGAAAGCCCCGGGCUUAACCUGGGAACUGCAUUUAAAACUGGCGAACUAGAGUUGAGUAGAGGGGAGUGGAAUUUCAGGUGUAGCGGUGAAAGGCGUAGAGAUCUGAAGGAACACCAGUGGCGAAGGCGACUCCCUGGACUCGAACUGACGCUGAGGUACGAAAGCGUGGGUAGCAAACGGGAUUAGAAACCCCAGUAGUCC